CCCAUACACGCCAUUCUCACAUCUCAGGUGUCACCUUCAGUGUGAGGCAGAAGGAGGAUCAUAAAUUCGAGCCCAUCCCGGACAAUUAAGCGAUUUAGCAAGACCCUGUCUCAAAAUAAAUACGAAGGGAUAGGGGUGUGGCUCCCGGUGCAAUGCUCCCGGAUUUAUAAAUAAGAAACUCCUUUGGCCAUCAGCUGAGGGUACCACAUCGUCUUAGGCUCGUCAAGCCCACUUGACCUAUUGGGAAAGGAUAGAAGGAAAAGACUGAAACAUUUGCCUCCAUCUACAAAAGACUACUUGAAGUCAGUCGCCAAUCAACAUUUUCCCACCUAAUGCCUACACAGUUGUCACUGUCUACUUCUUGACCCUAGCAGGGGGUCCUACCCAUGGCCAAGAGGAGCAGGUUUUCUUCUUCCUCCUUUGCACAGUAUAGAAGCCCUUCACCUCAACAAGCCACUACAAGCUCAUCAAUCCCAGUACUGGCACAUGUGCUGUAGCAUGGCUCUCCCAAGCAGUAAAAGGGCUGACCUAGAGAAAGGGUACAGUGGGGGCCAUAGAGGCUCUGGGGACCUACGUGUGGAACUGUGGCCCGACCUGCCACCACUGGAUGAUUACUUAUUGGUCAGACCAGGAGCUGCCUCAAAGCCUGGCUAGUGCCAGGAGAAGGAGGAGGAGGAGGGAGAGGGGGAGGGGGA